UGUCAAUGUGAAAUGUUUAACAAUUUGUUUCGGUAUAAAAGCUGUACUUGCCGCCUUUUGUCCCAUUCAACAAGAGUCCAAGGAUGAAGGUCCUGAUUCACUUAACCUUGGCUUUUUUGGUAACAUGGAGUCGCAAAGGAGAUUGCUGCACUCGUUUGGGUUGGAUUUGCGGGCCAAGUAAUUUUGUCGACGGAUUUGCACUCCCUCGGGACCAUUCAGAACCCUAUCAUUGUUACCAAGCUUGUGGGCAGAGCAAACAUUGGUUAAAAAUCAAUUACAUGUCCAUGUAUAACAUUGGCAAUGAACUAGUUUUUUGCUACUGUCUUCCAUACUGCGAUCUGAUCCAGGCACUUCCGUGGAAAUUGAAAGUUGCAUCGGUCGGUUUAUUUUUUGGCAAAAGCGAUGUUGCCAAAGUGUGCAUGAAUUGGAAAUAAAGUCCUUUGCCCUGCA